ACAGGGAGCAAACUGGCUGGGAUUUCCUACAUUGGCUUGAACACUGGUGCAGGACAUUGCGACAGACUGGAAGGAGGACACUGUCACUCAGAAAGGGGCCGGAUGUUAGGGGACUCUAGCCAGAGGGCCAGGUCCCAGUGGCAGUAUAAUAGAAGGUUAAAGUGGACUAUACGUUCACCUGCUCAGUGCUGACACGUGUAACAUGCCUUUAUCAGUGCACAACAGCCACUUCCGGCAGUACAUUACAUGACCAUACAGAGAACAUGUCCCUGGUGUAUCCCUCUGGGAAGGAAGCCCGGGAGCCAGUCCAUAUCUGGUACAAGUGCCUGAUCAGCAACCUGCCCUGUACCAGCCGUACAUGACAGGCAGGAGCCAGUCUAGAAAGCCACAAGAGGGUGCUCUGGGGCGGGGCAAUAGAGCACAGGGAGGGGGUGUGCGUUGGGCCGCAUGCACAGCUUUGUUCUUGUAGGGCCCUGACUCGCCAUUUCUUUUUGAGGAAAAAGCAUUUUUCCUGGUUAGGGUGGGGAGCGGGAACGGAGACGUCGCUCCUACAGAUCCCGCAGCUGGGUGGAAGAAAACUGGGUUGAGCCUCCCGACUCUGCCCAGCGUCUCUUUCCCUGCCCGCUUUAUUCCUCCUACCGCUUGUUUUCCACACCAGGUCUUGCCAUCACAGCGAGAACACCCACGCGUCCCAUGGCAGCAGCAGGAAACACACCAGCACGUGACGUGGCCAUUUGCCUGCUCGCAGCUGGGCUGAGAUCGUCCCCCGCCCGGCACCAGUCAGGGCCCUGUGUUGCUUCUUGAUCGCAGCAGGGCCAGUCAGCUCAUGUGACUGUCCAGAACCCCCCCAGGUGCUGGAAGUAAUUAUGACCAGGAUGAAACCUAUCCACUUUCCAGAGACCCGUCAGCUCGGCUGGUGAGAGCAGCCCAGGGUAGCUCUGGUAAUUCAAUCAGAGUCUGUAAUUCGCUAAUGGGCAGGAUCGAUUCUGGGCCGCAGCCGAAAGGGGCUUUGUUUCCAUCGCCCCAGCCCUUUGCCAGCUGGCAAGCUGCUGCCAGUUGAGAAUGACAGAACUUCACCCCCUGGCCUAUUCCUCUGUGGCAGAGCAGAGCGCGCCUUGCUGGAGCCUGUCUGGACCAUAUUCCCCAGGGCCGGGCCAGGAUCCUUCCAUACAAUCCAGGCUCCAGGCCUUUGUCCAGCCUUAAGUGUCCCAGGUGAUGGGGGCCUAUUCCACAAUCUAGCACAGAGGCCCCCAAACUGUGGGGUGGGCCCCCCUAGGGGGGGCAUGGAGAAACAUUCGGAGGGCACAACAGGUCUGGGACAGCCCCCACAGGGGGUGCGAAGUGAGCGCCACCCAGCCCCGCUCCACCCCCAGCUCUGCUCUGGCACCAUCCGCGACUCCCGGUCCCGUGCCCGGCCCCAUAGCCUCAGCCCUGGACCACAGCCUGGCUGCAGCUCUGCACACAGCCCUGGCCCCAGUCCCGUCCCCAGCCUCAGCCUCUGGCUGCAGCUCCAUUCCCAGCCCCAGUCUCAGCCCUCUUACCCCUGUCUGUGUCUCAGGGGGGAGGGGAGAAGAGGGUAUUGAGAGGGGUAAGGGGGGCCAUGAUGCUGAAAAGUUUGGGAACCACUGGUUUACCAGAUUUCACUGUCUGAAAUAAAGAUGCUGUAGGCGCACUUCAGCCUCUUUAGCAGAUCACUUUUCUCUGAGGUGUCUGGAGCGCACGAGCCCUGGAGAAACAUGUCCUUGAGGGCAGUGACCUUAACGGGGAGGACUUGGAUUGAGGCAUAUUUCCAUGGAGACUGUUGUGAUGAUUGGACUGACAAAUUGACCCGAAUGGUGAGCUCAGUUGUAAAAAGUCUAUGAAAGUUCACGAGAUGUCACCAUAACCUAUAAUGGCAAGUGUUGAUAGUAGGGCCAGUAGUGUUCAGUAAUGUGUGUUAUAGGAAGGUGCACGAGAACUGGCCAGAGACUGGAUGGAGACCAAAAACAGACCUAAUUGUGAUAACUCCAGUACAGUGAUGUUGAAACCAUGCUGGGUAAAAAGAUAAGAUAUGGACCUGGAAAUGAAUAGACCAGCAUUGAUUUGUCGGAUAUUAGGCUUCAUUGGUGGACAAAAUAAUGAGGGGCUAGGCUAUUCCACCCAC